rnacentral:rRNA from 1 species
CAAAAACAUAGCCCUAAGAAGAUAUUUAGGGUAAGCCCUGCCCGGUGACGUGAAGUUUAACGGCCGCAGUACCUUGACUGUGCUAAGGUAGCGUAAUCAGUUGGCUUUUAAAUGGAGUCUGGUAUGAACGGGUCUAUGGGGGAAAGCUGUCUCAGGCUUAGAUUUUGAAAUUAUUAAUAAGGUGAAAAUACCUUUUGUCAAAAAAAAGACGAGAAGACCCUUAGAGCUUUUAAUAAAUUGUAGUAUAUACAAUACUUUUUUGUUGGGGCGACACGGAGACAUUGAACUCUCUCUAAUUUAAAUUACUUGCCGACUUUUUGUAAGUAAGAAUAAGCUACCUUAGGGAUAACAGCAUUAUUUUUUAUAAAGCUUAUGACCUCGAUGUUGGACUAGGGACUUUAUGACUAGCCGUCAAAAUAGCAUGUUCUGUUCGAACGACUGACCCUACGUGAUCUGAGU